CAAUAGCGUAUAUUAACGUUGUUGCAGUUAAAAAGCUCGUAGUUGGAUUUCUGGAGGGAGCGUCGACCCGUAUUUACGAGUGCGUGACGUCUCUGUCCAUCCUUGCGGGAAGGCACGGCAUUGAUUUGUUGUGUCGGAUCGCAUCAUUUACUGUGAAAAAAUUAGAGUGUUCAAAGCAGGCUUUCGCUUGAAUACAUUAGCAUGGAAUAAUAAGAUAGGACUUUGUUGCUAUUUUGUUGGUUGAGCCUAAAGUAAUGAUUAAUAGGGAUAGUUGGGGGCACCUGUAUUGCGUUGUCAGAGGUGAAAUUCUUGGAUUUACGCAAGACAAACAGCUGCGAAAGCGUCUGCCAAGGAUGUUUUCAUUAA
rnacentral:rRNA from 1 species